UUGAGGGCUGAGCUAGGUAUUAUUUGUUAGACACGUCCACUACACACGAAAAGGGGCGACUGGGAGAGAAAUUGGACUUGAAUUUGGAGUCAAUUUUUGCGGCUGCUGGGAGGAGAAGUGAGCUGCCAAUUGCUGAAAUAUAUAUAUAUAUAUAUAUAAUUGUUGACAGCCAAGAUUAUUCGCUAUAUACGCAUGGAAAUUCGACUCCAAACAUAAAUAAGGCUAUUUGUUGCUAAAUUAUAGAUAUACACAUUGGAAGUCGUGAAGGAGAGAGGCCGUUGACGACUGACAAAAAAUAAAAGAAAAGGCAACGGGCACGACAGAGACAGCCGAUUCACGUUGCAAAACUUUAAUCAUGUUCCGUCAGUUAAUUCAGCGAUGUCUUUCAUGAAUUUAUCCUGCUUUCUUUCAUUAAUAUGUGUAGCUAAAUUUAAUUUAGGACGAACAAUGUAAUUUAUUUAGGAC
rnacentral:lncRNA from 1 species